AUUUAUAUUUGCAGAAUUGGUCUUCCUGCAACGCGAGCGCCAUGCUGGAUGGGGGAGGGCCAUGUUGGAUUUAAGUUGAACAUGGUGAUAGUCACUGUAUUUAAACACAGUGAUUGUAUUACUGCUUAUAAAUACAGUAAAUCAAUCGCUGUGUGAUUCACCACAUUUUUAACACGUAAAUCAAUCAUCGUGUUCCUUAAGUUUAAACCUUCUACUGCACUUCUCUUUUCUCUUCUCCCGAACACUCAUCCCUCUCUCUCUCUCUCUCUCUCUCUCUCUCUCUCUCUCUCUCUCUCUCUCUCUCUCCAUGAGCCUCUUCUCCUCCAUGUAAUAUA
rnacentral:lncRNA from 1 species